UUCAAGUUUCUCCUCUUCAACUGUUGGGUUUUCAGGUUUCUCCUCUUCAACUACUGGUUUGUCAGUUUUUUCUUCAAAUGCUAGUUCAUUAGGUGUUUCUUCCCGUUUUGAUUCCUUGAGUGUUUCUUCAGUUUUUGGUUUUUCAGGUUUCUCUUCAACCAUUGGUUCUUCAAGUUUCUCCUCCACAGUUGUUUUUUCAUGUUUCUCUUCAACUGCCAGAUCUUCAAGUUCUCUCUCAACUGUUGGUUCUUCAGGCUUCUCCAUAACCGCCAAUACUUCAGGCUUCUCUUCAAUUGUUGUUUCUUCAUGUUCUUUUUCAACUACUGGUUCUUGAGAUUUUUCCUUGACUGAUUCAUAGUCAGCAAUAUCAUUGGUGGUAUUGCAUGACAUUACAUAAUCUAUCUUGUCCUUUGAGUCUACAAUUGGAAAAUGCUGCAAGAAAAUUUAAAAGUUUUACUUAGUCUUUCAACAGAUAAACAUAUGUAAAUCCGUUGCACAUAUAAAGCUAAUAUGAUGGAUAAAUUUUGUGACAAUGUUUAAUUCUGACCUUCUCUAGAAGAGCUCCGGUUUCAGGUUUCUCCACUUCAACAACUAGUUCUUUAGGUGUCUUUUCAACCGUUGCUUCUUCAGGUUUCUCUUCAAGUGCUAGUUCUUCAGCUGUUUCCUCCCCCUCUAACUCUUCAGGUGUUUUUUUAGCUGUUCGUUCUUCAGAUUUCUCUUCAGCCGCAGGUUCUUGAGGUUUCUCUUCAAAUGGUAAUUCAAAUUUCUCCUCAACCGAUGGUUCUUCAAAUUUCUCUUGAAUAACUGGUUCUUCAGGUUUUUCUUCAACUGCUGAUUCUUCAAGAUUUUCUUCAACAUUUAAAGAUUGAGCAACAUCAUUACUGGUAUUGCAUGGAAUUUCACUGCCAUUUUUGCUGUUCAAGUCUACAACUAGCAUAUUCUGCAAAAGAGUUUAAUGUUUCACUUAGUCUUUCAAUAAAGAAGCAGACGUGAAUCAUUUCACAUACAUAACUAAUAAUAUGGAUAGCUAAUAAUAUGGAUUAACUUUUAUGACAGAUUUUCCACAAGAGCUACCUUUUCAGGUUUCUCCUCUUCAAGUGAUGGUUUCUCUUCAAAUGAUAGUUCAUUAGGCGUUUCUUCCUGUGUUGGUUUUUCAUGUGCUUCUUCAGUUACUGGUUUUUCAGGUUUCUCCUUAGUUGUUGGUUCUUCGCUUGUCUCCUCAGCUGAUUGUUCUUCAAGCUUCUCUCCUGUUGUUGAUUUUUCUGGUUUCUCUUCAAUUAUCGGUGGUUCAGGUUUUUUCUCAACCGGUGAUUCUUCUGGUUUCUCCAAAACCAUUGAUUCUUCAUGUUUUUUUUCAACUACUGACUCUUCAGUGUUUUCCUCAACUGAUGCAUAGUCAGCAAUAUCGUUGUUGGUAUUGCUUGGAAUUGCAUUGUCUAUCUUGUCCUUUGAGUUUACUUUUGGCAUAUUCUGCAAUGAAGUUUCACGUAGUCUUUCAAUAGAUAAACAAAUGUAAAUUUGUUGCACAUAUAAAAGCUAAUAUGAUGGAUAAAAUUUGUGCCAGUGUUUAAUCCUCACCUUCUCCUGAAGAGCUUCCGCUUCAAGUUCCUCCUCUUCAAUUGCAGGUUUUUCAUCUUUCUCUCCAACAACUAGUUCUUCAGGUUUCUCUUCAAGUGCCAGUUCUUCAGGUGUUUCCUCCUUUGCCAGCUCUUCAGGUGUUUCCUCCUUUGCCAGCUCUUCAGGUGUUUCUUUAGCUGCCGGUUCUUCAGGUUUCUCUUCAACCUCCGGUUCUUGUGGUAUUUCCUCUACUUGUACUUCAGAUUUCUCCUCAAUUGUUGGUUCUUCAGGUUUCUCUCUAACCGCUGCUGCAUUAGGUUUCUCUUCAUUGGCUGGUUCUUCAGGUUUUUCUUCAACUACCGAUUCUUCAGGAUUUUCCUCAAUGUUUGGAAAGGGAGCGACAUCAUUAUUGGUAUUGCAUGGAAUUUCACUGCCAGUUUUGUCAUUCAAGUCCACAACUAGUAUAUUCUGCAAAAGAGUUUAAUGUUUCACUUAGUCUUUCAAUAAAGAAGCAGAUGCGAAUCAUUACAUAUACAUAACUAAUAACAUGGAUAAACUUUAUGACAGUAGUUGACCCUUACCUUUUCCACAAGAGUUACUUUUGCAGGUUUCUCCUCUUCAAGUGCUGGUUUCUCUUCAAAUGAUAGUUCAUUAGGUGUUUCUUCCCGUGUUGGUUCUUCAUGUGCUUCUUCAGUUACUGGUUUUUCAGGUUUCUCCUCAAUUGUUGGUUCUUCGCUUGUCUUCUCAACUGAUGGUUCCUCAUGCUUCUCUCCCGUUGUUGAUUUUUCGGGUUUCUCUUCAGUUGUCGAUGGUUCAGUUUUUUUCUCAACCGCUGGUUCUUUUGGCUUCUCCAAAACCAUUUCCGAUUUCUCUUCAGUUGGUGGUUCUUCAUGGUUUUUUUCAACUACUGGUUCUUCUCUUUUUUCCUCAACUGAUGCAUAGUCAGCAAUAUCGUUGUUGGUAUUGCUUGGAAUUGCAUUGUCUGUCUUGUCCUUUGAGCUUACAAUUGGCAUAUUCUGCUAGAAAAAUAUAAAGUUUCAUGUAGUCUUUCAACAGAGAAACCAAUGUAAAUUUGUUGCACAUAUAAAGCUAACAAAUAUGAUGGAUAGACUUUGCGAGAGUGUUUAAUACUCACCUUCUCCGGAAGAGCUUCCGUUUCAGGUUCCUCUUCAAUUUCUGCUUUUUCAUCUUUCUCUUCAACAACUAGUUCUUCAGGUGUCUCUUCAACCGUUGAUUCUUCAGGUUUCUCUUCAAGUGUUAGUUCUUGAGGUGUUUCCUCCUUUGCUAGCUCUUCAGGUGUUUCUGUAACUGCCGGUUCUUCAGGUUCCUCUUCAGCCACCGGCUGUUGACGUAUCUCCUCUACUUGUACUUCAGAUUUCUCCUCAAUUGUUGGUUCUUCAGGUUUCUCCUUAACCGCUGGUACAUCAGGUUUAUCCUCAUUGACUGGUUCUUCAACUGCUGAUUCUUCUAGAUUUUCCUCAAUGUCUGGAAAGCGAGCAACAUCAUUAUUGGUAUUGCAUGGAAUUUCAUUUCCAGUUUCGUUAUUCGAGUCUACAAUUAGCAUAUUCUGCAAAAAGAAUUUAAUGUUUCAUUUAGCCUUUCAAUAAAGAAGCAUAUGCGAAUAACAGUACAUGCAUAACUAACAAAAUGGAUAAACUUUGUGAUAGUGCUUGAUCCUUACCUUUGCCAAAAGAGUUACCUUUUCAGGUUUCUCCUCUUCAACGGUUGGUUCUUCAUGUUUCUUUUCAAAUGCUAGUUCCUUGGUUGUUUCUUCCGGUGUUGGUUCCAUAGGUGUUUCUUCAGUUACUUGUUUUUCGGGUUUCUCUUCAAUUAUUGGUUCUUCGAUUGUCUUCUCA
rnacentral:lncRNA from 1 species